rnacentral:rRNA from 1 species
UAUCGGAACGUAUCCAAUAAUGGGGGAUAACGAGUCGAAAGAUUCGCUAAUACCGCAUACGCCCUACGGGGGAAAGCUAGGGACCUUUGGGCCUGGCGUUAAUGGAGCGGCCGAUAUCUGAUUAGCUAGUUGGUGAGGUAAAGGCUCACCAAGGCGACGAUCAGUAGCUGGUCUGAGAGGACGACCAGCCACACUGGAACUGAGACACGGUCCAGACUCCUACGGGAGGCAGCAGUGGGGAAUUUUGGACAAUGGGCGCAAGCCUGAUCCAGCCAUUCCGCGUGAGUGAAGAAGGCCUUCGGGUUGUAAAGCUCUUUCGCAAGGGAAGAAAACUUAUCCUCUAACAUAGGAUGAGGUUGACGGUACCUUGAUAAGAAGCACCGGCUAACUACGUGCCAGCAGCCGCGGUAAUACGUAGGGUGCGAGCGUUAAUCGGAAUUACUGGGCGUAAAGCGUGCGCAGGCGGCUUUGUAAGUCAGAUGUGAAAUCCCCGAGCUCAACUUGGGAACUGCGUUUGAAACUACAAGGCUAGAAUAUGUCAGGGGGGGGUAGAAUUCCACGUGUAGCAGUGAAAUGCGUAGAGAUGUGGAGGAAUACCAAUGGCGAAGGCAGCCCCCUGGGAUAAUAUUGACGCUCAUGCACGAAAGCGUGGGGAGCAAACAGGAUUAGAUACCCUGGUAGUCCACGCCCUAAACGAUGUCUACUAGUUGUUGGUGGAGUAAAAUCCAUGAGUAACGCAGCUAACGCGUGAAGUAGACCGCCUGGGGAGUACGGUCGCAAGAUUAAAACUCAAAUGAAUUGACGGGGGCCCGCACAAGCGGUGGAUUAUGUGGAUUAAUUCGAUGCAACGCGAAAAACCUUACCUGUCUUGACAUGUA